rnacentral:rRNA from 1 species
CCUACGGGUGGCAGCAGUGAGGAAUAUUGGUCAAUGGACGUAAGGCUGAACCAGCCAAGUCGCGUGAAGGAUGAAGGAUCUAUGGUUUGUAAACUUCUUUUAUAGGGGAAUAAAGGUAUCCACGUGUGGAUAUUUGUAUGUACCCUAUGAAUAAGCAUCGGCUAACUCCGUGCCAGCAGCCGCGGUAAUACGGAGGAUGCGAGCGUUAUCCGGAUUUAUUGGGUUUAAAGGGUGCGUAGGUUGUUUUUUAAGUCAGUGGUGAAAGUUUGUGGCUCAACCAUAAAAUUGCCGUUGAAACUGGAAGUCUUGAGUAUGUUUGAGGUGGGCGGAAUGUGUGGUGUAGCGGUGAAAUGCAUAGAUAUCACGCAGAACUCCGAUUGCGAAGGCAGCUUACUAAGCCAUAACUGACACUGAAGCACGAAAGUGUGGGGAUCAAACAGGAUUAGAUACCCCUGUAGUC